rfam:Nadsonia fulvescens var. elongata DSM 6958 unplaced genomic scaffold NADFTscaffold_3, whole genome shotgun sequence.
GCCUAGCUAGCUCAAUCGGUAGAGCGUGUGACUCUUAAAAUCCCCACAUUAGGAAUUAAAGUCAUCACAAGGUUGGGGGUUCGACCCCCCCGUUGGGCU